rnacentral:rRNA from 1 species
CGUGGGUAACCUGCCCAAGAGACCUGGGAUAACACCUGGAAACAGAUGCUAAUACCGGAUAACAACACUAGACGCAUGUCUAGAGUUUAAAAGAUGGUUCUGCUAUCACUCUUGGAUGGACCUGCGGUGCAUUAGCUAGUUGGUAAGGUAACGGCUUACCAAGGCAAUGAUGCAUAGCCGAGUUGAGAGACUGAUCGGCCACAUUGGGACUGAGACACGGCCCAAACUCCUACGGAAGGCAGCAG